rnacentral:rRNA from 1 species
UCGAGGGGAACGGCAUUAAGUGCUUGCACUUUUUGGACGUCGACCGGCGCACGGGUGAGUAACGCGUAUCCAACCUUCCCAUGACUAAGGGAUAACCUGCCGAAAGGCAGACUAAUACCUUAUGGUCUUCACUGACGGCAUCAGAUGUGAAGUAAAGAUUUAUCGGUUAUGGAUGGGGAUGCGUCUGAUUAGCUUGUUGGGGGGGUAACGGCCCACCAAGGCAACGAUCAGUAGGGGUUCUGAGAGGAAGGUCCCCCACAUUGGAACUGAGACACGGUCCAAACUCCUACGGGAGGCAGCAGUGAGGAAUAUUGGUCAAUGGGCGAGAGCCUGAACCAGCCAAGUAGCGUGCAGGAUGACGGCCCUAUGGGUUGUAAACUGCUUUUGUAUGGGGAUAAAGUCAGUCACGUGUGAUUGUUUGCAGGUACCAUACGAAUAAGGACCGGCUAAUUCCGUGCCAGCAGCCGCGGUAAUACGGAAGGUCCGGGCGUUAUCCGGAUUUAUUGGGUUUAAAGGGAGCGUAGGCUGGAGAUUAAGUGUGUUGUGAAAUGUAGACGCUCAACGUCUGACUUGCAGCGCAUACUGGUUUCCUUGAGUACGCACAACGUUGGCGGAAUUCGUCGUGUAGCGGUGAAAUGCUUAGAUAUGACGAAGAACUCCGAUUGCGAAGGCAGCUGACGGGAGCGCAACUGACGCUGAAGCUCGAAGGUGCGGGUAUCGAACAGGAUUAGAUACCCUGGUAGUCCGCACAGUAAACGAUGGAUGCCCGCUGUUGGUACCUGGUAUCAGCGGCUAAGCGAAAGCAUUA